rnacentral:ncRNA from 1 species
GGCACCCAGAGACAAGGAAGGGCGUGGUAAGAGACGAAAUGAUUUGGGGAGUUAAAAAUGAGCAUAGAUCCAGAGAUUCCCAAAUAGGUUAACCUUUUUAACUAUUGUUUAAUCCAUGGGCAGGCAAGAGACAAGCUGGAGAACUAAAACAUCUUAGUAGCCAGAGGAAUAUAAAGCAAAAGUGAUUCCCGUAGUAGCGGCAAGUGAAAUGGGAGCAUCCUAAACCGUGAAAACGGGGUUGUGGGAGAGCACAAUAUAAGUUAUGUUCUUCUAGGAAAAGUGGUUGAAUCCUACACCCUAGAUGGUGAGAGUCUAGUAGCCAAAAGCAUCAUUGGGUUACGCUCUAACCCGAGUAGCAUGGGGCACGUGGAAUCCCAUGUGAAUUAGCAAGGACCACCUUGCAAGGCUAAAUACUCUUGGGUGACC